rnacentral:rRNA from 1 species
GACGAACGCUGGCGGCGUGCUUAACACAUGCAAGUCGAACGAUGAAGCCGGAGCUUGCUCCGGUGGAUUAGUGGCGAACGGGUGAGUAACACGUGAGCAAUCUGCCCUUGACUCUGGAAUAACUGCGGGAAACUGUAGCUAAUACCGGAUACGACACCUUGGGGCAUCCCAGGGUGUGGAAAGAAUUUCGGUCAAGGAUGAGCUCGCGGCCUAUCAGCUAGUUGGUGAGGUAAUGGCUCACCAAGGCGACGACGGGUAGCCGGCCUGAGAGGGUGACCGGCCACACUGGAACUGAGACACGGUCCAGACUCCUACGGGAGGCAGCAGUGGGGAAUAUUGCACAAUGGGCGAAAGCCUGAUGCAGCAACGCCGCGUGAGGGAUGAAGGCCUUCGGGUUGUAAACCUCUUUUAGCAGGGAAGAAGCGAAGGUGACGGUACCUGCAGAAAAAGCACCGGCUAACUACGUGCCAGCCGCCGCAGUAA